rnacentral:rRNA from 1 species
UACAGAGGGGGCAAGCGUUAUUCGGAAUUAUUGGGCGUAAAGCGCACGUAGGCGGGUUGUUAAGUCAGGGGUGAAAUCCUGGAGCUCAACUCCAGAACUGCCUUUGAUACUGGCAACCUAGAGACUGGAAGAGGUUAGUGGAAUUCCCAGUGUAGAGGUGAAAUUCGUAGAUAUUGGGAAGAACACCAGUGGCGAAGGCGGCUAACUGGUCCAGCACUGACGCUGAGGUGCGAAAGCGUGGGGGAGCAAACAGG